GUACUAUUCUCUCCGUUCGGAAUUACUUGUCUCGGAAAUGGAUGUAUCUAAAACUAAAAUACGUCUAGAUACAUCCAUUUUUGCGACAAGUAAUUCCAAACGGAGGGAGUAGGUG
rnacentral:pre_miRNA from 1 species